UUAACUAUUAUAUAGUACUCAGACGACACUAAUAUUCAGGGUUGGGGGGUCCUUCAGCGGGCGCCCUCCCCCAGAUGGGGGUAUUAUUAAAGUACCCGCUAGGUAUACCUCGAUACGUGGCCCGCUAAAGCAACAAACAUAGUAAGCACGGGUGGGGUCCUACCCCGAAGGGCAAGGGACACUGUAAUGAUCCUUCCGCAGGUUCACCUACGGAAA
rnacentral:misc_RNA from 1 species